CGAUACCGGUGGUUGCCCCAGCCUUCAAAACCAUAAAGGAUGC
rnacentral:tRNA from 11 species